GAUCAUGGCUCAGGACGAACGCUGGCGGCGCGCCUAACACAUGCAAGUCGAACGGAGUUUACAGGCAGAAGUUUUCGGAUGGAAGCUUGUAAACUUAGUGGCGGACGGGUGAGUAACACGUGAGCAACCUGCCUAUCAGAGGGGGAUAACGAUUGGAAACGAUCGCUAAUACCGCAUGACAUAGCGGAACCGCAUGGUUCUGUUAUCAAAGAUUUUAUCGCUGAUAGAUGGGCUCGCG
rnacentral:rRNA from 1 species